rnacentral:rRNA from 1 species
AACGAACGCUGGCGGCAUGCCUAACACAUGCAAGUCGAACGAACCCUUCGGGGUGAGUGGCGCACGGGUGCGUAACACGUGGGAACCUGCCCUUAGGUUCGGAAUAACAGUUAGAAAUGACUGCUAAUACCGGAUAAUGUCUUCGGACCAAAGAUUUAUCGCCUUUGGAUGGGCCCGCGUAGGAUUAGCUAGUUGGUGAGGUAAAGGCUCACCAAGGCGACGAUCCUUAGCUGGUCUUAGAGGAUGAUCAGCCACACUGGGACUGAGACACGGCCCAGACUCCUACGGGAGGCAGCAGUGGGGAAUAUUGGACAAUGGGCGAAAGCCUGAUCCAGCAAUGCCGCGUGAGUGAUGAAGGCCUUAGGGUUGUAAAGCUCUUUUACCUGGGAUGAUAAUGACAGUACCAGGAGAAUAAGCCCCGGCUAACUCCGUGCCAGCCGCCGCUGUAAAAC